rnacentral:rRNA from 1 species
ACGGAAGGCAGCAGUGGGGAAUAUUGCACAAUGGGGGAAACCCUGACGCAGCGACGCCGCGUGAAGGAAGAAGUAUCUCGGUAUGUAAACUUCUAUCAGCAGGGAAGAUAGUGACGGUACCUGACUAAGAAGCCCCGGCUAACUACGUGCCAGCAGCCGCGGUAAUACGUAGGGGGCAAGCGUUAUCCGGAUUUACUGGGUGUAAAGGGAGCGUAGACGGUGUGGCAAGUCUGAUGUGAAAGGCGUGGGCUCAACCUGUGGACUGCAUUGGAAACUGUCAUACUUGAGUGCCGGAGGGGUAAGCGGAAUUCCUAGUGUAGCGGUGAAAUGCGUAGAUAUUAGGAGGAACACCAGUGGCGAAGGCGGCUUACUGGACGGUAACUGACGUUGAGGCUCGAAAGCGUGGGGAGCAAACAGGAUUAGAUACCCUGGUA